AGCUGGCCUGGCUGGGACUGGUAGGACUUGGGCAUGGGCGAUGGGUUUGGGGGAGGAGGGGCCUCUGGGCUUCUCACUGGACAGCUGCAGGUGCCAUGUGCCAUGUACCUGCCCAGGAGACGGUCUGAUGGGGGCAGGGCUAACUCAGGGGCGUGUUCAGUUCCGGGUGCCUCUCAGGACAGUGGCCACAGAUAGCUGACAGCCAGCAGAGGCCUUGAGACACUUCUGUCCAGCCACGCCGGACCCCAGCCUGACCCUGCAGGAGGAGGCGGGGCCCCAGAGGCAGAGGAGGGGCCAAGAGGGGACUCCCGGAAAGGCAAGGCUGGGGGGGCAGCGGUGACCCCUGGACUGCAGCUCUGUCUGCUCAGAGCCUCCAGUAGAGAAGCUGGCGAACCUGCUGUGGCGUGGGCAGGUGGCAUCUGCUGGUGUCGGCGCCCCUGGGCUCGGAUGCCAGGAUCUGCCCCGAGGGGUGCUGGGCAGCUGUCCACGCGUCCCGCUUUUCCCUGGAGAGGGUCUGGGGAAUCGGCCCUCGAGGGGAGCGGGGUGGGGGUGGCCUGGGGAGCCAUGAGAGGGACCCUGCAGCUUCCAGGACUCCCCCUCCCCCGCAGAGCAGGAGAUUCUCCCUAGCUGGGGCUGGGGCAGGGCCAGGACCUGGGAGAGAAACCGGGGCUGUCCCAGCUCGGGCAGCUGGGGGCCGGUGCUGCAGGUGUGGCCAUUCCCGGGGCCAGGGGCUGGUGAGUCCUCCCCUCCCCCUUCCAGGGCUGCUGUACAGAAUCCUCCCUCCAGAGGGGCGUGGCCAGGCUCCAGCUCCCGCCGGAGCCGGCCGGAGGCCUCAGGCGGCCUGCACACAUCUGCACGGGGCCAGGGUGCUGGCUCUCUCUGCUCAGCUUCUGGCAGAGGAGAGAAGGGGGUGUCCUGCUGCACCCUGCAGCCCCUGGUCCGCUCCCACGUUCAAGACCCACCCCCCAGCUCUGUGGCCCCGGGGGCGGCGGAAGUACGAGCGGAGGGCUCUGUGCGGCCUCUGCGGAAGUGAGUAACCCACCCUGCAGGUCGGAGCCGGUGUGUGAGCUGCGGAGCGCGGGAGCGAAAGGCCCUCCCUGGGAGGGAGGGGGCAGCGGCGGGGGCUUGCUCCAGGUUUGCCUCCCCCAACUGGGGGGUGGGGGUGGGCGGGAACUGUCGGCCUCCUGUGGCCCCCACAGCAGCCUAGAGCUCGCUUUGCUGGUCUGGCCGGGGCAGAGGCUGGGAAAGGAGACCCCUGCCCCCUCCCUGGCCUUAGGGUGUCCCGGGUCCCUGAGCCAAUGAGAAGAGGAGACCGGGUGGGGCCUGUCCCUCCCAGGUAAAGGGCAGGGCUCGGGGACUCAGAUGCAGCUGUGCCCUGUGGCCCUGUGGCGGGGAACCACGCUGUGCGCGGACGUGACCCCGUCUG
rnacentral:lncRNA from 1 species